rnacentral:rRNA from 1 species
CAGUUCGGAUUGCAGGCUGCAACCCGCCUGCAUGAAGCCGGAAUCGCUAGUAAUCGCGGAUCAGAAUGCCGCGGUGAAUACGUUCCCGGGUCUUGUACACACCGCCCGUCACACCAUGAGAGUCGGGAACACCCGAAGUCCGUAGCCUGACCACAAGGGGGGCGCGGCCGAAGGUGGGUUCGAUAAUUGGGGUGAAGUCGUAACAAGGUAAC